rnacentral:misc_RNA from 1 species
GGUUUACGCUGGAUUAAUAUCGAAUUCAGGGGCCAACUUCAACGUUAUUGAGCCUCCACGCAAGAAACUUCCGCUGGCUACAGCUGCAUCCCAAAAUCCACGGUUCACAGAUUCGGAAAGCAACCGAUAAAAUAAUCGUUGGAUAAUCUGCAGUGUAACGAUUUUCAUCGCACGAAUAAACUUCGAUGAUCACGGAUCGAGCAGUCAAUUACGUGCAUGUGCAAGCAUAACGUGGAUCGUCAGCUACCAAUUCCUACCUAC